GGGAGGGGUGACUAGUGACAGAGUGAGGGAGGGAAGGGGGUGACUAGUGACAGAGUGAGGGAGGGAAGGGGGUGACUAGUGACAGUCACCACCUCCUUCACUCUGUCACUGUGUCACCCCCUCCCUCACUCUGUCACUAGUCACCCCCUCCCUCACUCUGUCACUGUGUCACCCCCUUCCUCACUCUGUCACUAGUCACCCCCUCCC